GGGUUGUUUGGUUUAGGGUUAGGAAGUAAUGGUGGAUUUGUGGGGUUUCGAGGUGUGGAAUUUGGGCCAGGGAAAUGGUACGGCUUGUUGACGGUGGAAUUGUUAGAUUGGUUUAGGGUUAGGAAGUAAUGGUGGAUUUGUGGGGUUUCGAGGUGUGGAAUUUGGGCCAGGGAAAUGGUACGGCUUGUUGACGGUGGAAUUGUUAGGUUUUGGUGGUGGUGUAGGGCAGUAUUU
rnacentral:lncRNA from 1 species